GGACGAACGCUGGCGGUAUGCUUAACACAUGCAAGUCGAACGAGAAGGAAGAGCUUGCUCUUCCUGAAAGUGGCGAACGGGUGAGUAACGCGUGGGUAACCUACCCUUUGGAAAGGAAUAGCCUCGGGAAACUGGGAGUAAUGCCUUAUAAGAUACGUUUGUCGCAUGGCAUUUGUAUUAAACGCUCCGGCGCCAUAGGAUGGACCCGCGUCCCAUUAGCUAGUUGGUGAGAUAACAGCUCACCAAGGCCACGAUGGGUAACCGGUCUGAGAGGGCGAACGGUCACACUGGAACAGAGACACGGUCCAGACUCCUACGGGAGGCAGCAGUGGGGAAUAUUGCGCAAUGGGGGCAACCCUGACGCAGCAAUACCGCGUGAGUGAAGAAGGUUUUCGGAUCGUAAAGCUCUGUUAUUGGGGAAGAAAAAAAGACGGUACCCAAGAAGAAAGUUCCGGCUAACUACGUGCCAGCAGCCGCGGUAAUACGUAGGGAACAAGCGUUGUCCGGAUUUACUGGGCGUAAAGGGCACGCAGGCGGUUUUUUAAGUCAGAUGUGAAAGGCCACAGCUCAACUGUGGACAUGCAUUUGAAACUGAAAGACUUGAGUAUUGGAGAGGCAAGUGGAAUUCCUAGUGUAGCGGUGAAAUGCGUAGAUAUUAGGAGGAACACCGGUGGCGAAGGCGGCUUGCUGGACAAAUACUGACGCUGAGGACGAACGCUGGCGGUAUGCUUAACACAUGCAAGUCGAACGAGAAGGAAGAGCUUGCUCUUCCUGAAAGUGGCGAACGGGUGAGUAACGCGUGGGUAACCUACCCUUUGGAAAGGAAUAGCCUCGGGAAACUGGGAGUAAUGCCUUAUAAGAUACGUUUGUCGCAUGGCAUUUGUAUUAAACGCUCCGGCGCCAUAGGAUGGACCCGCGUCCCAUUAGCUAGUUGGUGAGAUAACAGCUCACCAAGGCCACGAUGGGUAACCGGUCUGAGAGGGCGAACGGUCACACUGGAACAGAGACACGGUCCAGACUCCUACGGGAGGCAGCAGUGGGGAAUAUUGCGCAAUGGGGGCAACCCUGACGCAGCAAUACCGCGUGAGUGAAGAAGGUUUUCGGAUCGUAAAGCUCUGUUAUUGGGGAAGAAAAAAAGACGGUACCCAAGAAGAAAGUUCCGGCUAACUACGUGCCAGCAGCCGCGGUAAUACGUAGGGAACAAGCGUUGUCCGGAUUUACUGGGCGUAAAGGGCACGCAGGCGGUUUUUUAAGUCAGAUGUGAAAGGCCACAGCUCAACUGUGGACAUGCAUUUGAAACUGAAAGACUUGAGUAUUGGAGAGGCAAGUGGAAUUCCUAGUGUAGCGGUGAAAUGCGUAGAUAUUAGGAGGAACACCGGUGGCGAAGGCGGCUUGCUGGACAAAUACUGACGCUGA
rnacentral:rRNA from 1 species